rnacentral:rRNA from 1 species
UUCCGGUUGAUCCUGCCGGACCUGACUGCUAUCGGAUUGAUACUAAGCCAUGCGAGUCAUUGUAGCAAUACAAGGCAUACGGCUCAGUAACGCGUAGUCAACCUAACCUAUGGACGGGAAUAACCUCGGGAAACUGAGAAUAAUGCCCGAUAGAACAUUAUACCUGGAAUGGUUUAUGUUCCAAAUGAUUUAUCGCCGUAGGAUGGGACUGCGGCCUAUCAGUUUGUUGGUGAGGUAAUGGCCCACCAAGACUAUUACAGGUACGGGCUCUGAGAGGAGUAGCCCGGAGAUGGGUACUGAGACACGGACCCAGGCCCUAUGGGGCGCAGCAGGCGAGAAAACUUUGCAAUGUGCGAAAGCACGACAAGGUUAAUCCGAGUGAUUUCUGCUAAAGAAAUCUUUUGUUAGUCCUAGAAACACUAACGAAUAAGGGGUGGGCAAGUUCUGGUGUCAGCCGCCGCGGUAAAACCAGCACCUCAAGUGGUCAGGAUGAUUAUUGGGCCUAAAGCAUCCGUAGCCGGCUCUGUAAGUUUUCGGUUAAAUCUGUACGCUCAACGUACAGGCCGCCGGGAAUACUGCAAAGCUAGGGAGUGGGAGAAGUAGACGGUACUCGGUAGGAAGUGGUAAAAUGCUUUGAUCUAUCGAUGACCACCUGUGGCGAAGGCGGUCUACUAGAACACGUCCGACGGUGAGGGAUGAAAGCUGGGGGAGCAAACCGGAUUAGAUACCCGGGUAGUCCCAGCUGUAAACUAUGCAAACUCAGUGAUGCAUUGGCUUGUGGCCAAUGCAGUGCUGCAGGGAAGCCGUUAAGUUUGCCGCCUGGGAAGUACGUACGCAAGUAUGAAACUUAAAGGAAUUGGCGGGGGAGCACCACAAGGGGUGAAGCCUGCGGUUCAAUUGGAUUCAACGCCGGG